rnacentral:rRNA from 1 species
CCUGGAAACGGGUGCUAAUACCGGAUACGCUCACGGGUUCACAAGAGCUUGUGAGGAAAGGGGAGACCCGCAGACAGAUGGGUCCGCGUCCCAUUAGCUAGUUGGGGGUGUAAUGGACUCCCAAGGCGACGAUGGGUAGCCGGCCUGAGAGGGUGACCGGCCACACUGGAACUGAGACACGGUCCAGACUCCUACGGGAGGCAGCAGUGGGGAAUCUUCCGCAAUGGGCGAAAGCCUGACGGAGCAACGCCGCGUGAGUGAAGAGGGCCUUCGGGUUGUAAAACUCUGUCAUCAGGGAAGAAGAAAGUGACGGUACCUGAGGAGGAAGCCCCGGCUAACUACGUGCCAGCAGCCGCGGUAAAACGUAGGGGGCGAGCGUUGUCCGGAAUUACUGGGCGUAAAGGGCGCGUAGGCGGUUAUCCAAGUCAGGGGUGAAAACCUUGGGCUCAACCCAGGGCCUGCCUCUGAAACUGGGUGACUUGAGGGCAGGAGAGGGGAGUGGAAUUCCCAGUGUAGCGGUGAAAUGCGUAGAUAUUGGGAGGAACACCAGUGGCGAAGGCGGCUCUCUGGCCUGUUACUGACGCUGAGGCGCGAAAGCGUGGGGAUCAAACAGGAUUAGAUACCCUGGUAGUCCACGCCGUAAACGAUGGGUGCUAGGUGUAGGAGGUAUCGACCCCUUCUGUGCCGUAGUUAACACAAUAAGCACCCCGCCUGGGGAGUACGGCCGCAAGGUUGAAACUCAAAGGAAUUGACGGGGGCCCGCACAAGCGGUGGAGCAUGUGGUUUAAUUCGACGCAACGCGAAGAACCUUACCAGGGUUUGACAUCCCCUGACAGCCUAUGAAAGUAGGUUUUCUAUCUUCGGAUAGACAGGGAGACAGGUGGUGCAUGGUUGUCGUCAGCUCGUGUCGUGAGAUGUUGGGUUAAGUCCCGCAACGAGCGCAACCCUCACGUUUAGUUGCCAGCGGGUGAGGCCGGGCACUCUAAACGAACUGCCGUUGACAAAACGGAGGAAG